UACAGAGGGCGCGAGCGUUGUCCGGAAUCACUGGGCGUAAAGGGCGCGUAGGUGGCGGCAUAAGGCUGCGGUGAAAGCCCGGAGCUCAACUCCGGAACUGCCUUAAGACUGCAUCGCUUGAAUCCAGGAGAGGUGAGUGGAAUUCCGAGUGUAGAGGUGAAAUUCGUAGAUAUUCGGAAGAACACCAGUGGCGAAGGCGGCUCACUGGACUGGUAUUGACGCUGAGGUGCGAAAGCGUGGGGAGCAAACAGG
rnacentral:rRNA from 1 species